AUGGAAAUGCUCCUUAAAACUUUGGGUACUUUGAUGCUCAAAUUCUUGAUAGCUGUUGGAUGUGUCGGGAGUAGUUGUGAAUGGAAACUCCAUUUUCAUCUUGGUCAACAGGUCAUGAUGAAGCGGUUGUGGUGGGCUUGUUUUGGGGACUGUUUUGACCAACUUCAACUAGACAUUGUCCACAACCAUUUAUCUCCUUCUGUUUGUCUUGAACAAUGCUGGAGGCAGAAUGCCACCCAUAAAAUAUAG